GGGAGGGGGUGCGGGGGCGGACGGAAAGACGCUGACGUACGAAGUUUUUUCGUCUCUUUGUUUCUCUAAGUAGAGAAAGGAAAAAUGUGUGCCUUGUGAAGCAAACAAAAUACUAACCUCUGUUUCCAAAUACUUAUCACUUUUGACCACUUUAUUUAUUUUAAAAUAUUUGGCACUUCACGUUUCCAAAAACACUUUUCCAUUUUGCCUCUAUACAAAUAUUAUAGGAAUGUUCUAGAAACUCUUAAAGAUAGGUUUAUUAUAAGGGCAUUUUGAAUAUUUCAUUCUUGAAAGGUUGAAUUGCUUUGGCAACCGUGUUUGGCCAAAAUUAUCAAGUAUUCAGAAACGGAGGUACUGUCACUACUUCGGGUAGAUAUUUAUGUUUAAAUAAAGAAAAUGCAACUAAGCUCACGUCAAGGAGGAGAGCGGAAGGGCCCUCCUCUCUCUAACUACAGGCUACAGUUAAGAGCAUCUCCAGUUUACAUUGACUAAACUGGAUUGCUAUACUAAAACUACCGCAAUACUUAAAAACCAACAAAAACCUGCUCCAUCAGUAUACUUAAUAGUUUGCUAAUUUUAGGUUAUCUAUAUUCUUCUGCUCACGCGGGAGAGGAGAAAGCAACCGCUCUCGGUCGGAGCUUUCCAAGCCGCGUACGUCCCCCUCCGCCCCUGCGCCGCCGGCGUCCUUGUCGCCUCCGGCCACCAGCGCCACCAUGGAAAUCUGCCUCGAGCUCGAUUCACGCAUCCCCACGCUCGAUUCUGCUGUCUCCUGCUCGAUUUGACGUCCGCCGGGCCAGCCCAACCCUUAGCCGGACUCGAAUUGGUGGUGAGGAUGGAGGCGAGGGGCGGGCGAGCGACCACCACCGGCUCAGCCCCGGCUCGGGAGAGCUCCGCGCGAGGCUUCUGUGGCGCAACCCUGACAUGCGUGAGCUUUCGCAACCCAGCCCUGGUGCGGGCGUGGUCCCUGGCCCAACCCCGAGGCCGGCGUGCUCGUCGGGGCUGCAACUCGUCGAUCCCCGGUGGAAAAGGAGAUGACGGCGUCGAUUCAGGGCAGACGGCAAGGCGGAGCGGGGGCAGGCGAGCUCCACCGACCCAACCCCGAGGCGGGUGCUACUGGUACUUGAAUGAAUAUAGGUCACUAGUUC
rnacentral:lncRNA from 1 species